UAAUGCAAAGGUUAUUGGAUCUGAUGG
rnacentral:piRNA from 1 species